GAUGAACGCUGGCGGCGUGCCUAAUACAUGCAAGUCGAGCGAACGGACGCGGAGCUUGCUUCUCUGAUGUUAGCGGCGGACGGGUGAGUAACACGUGGAUAACCUACCUAUAAGACUGGGAUAACUUCGGGAAACCGGAGCUAAUACCGGAUGAUAUUUUGAACCGCAUGGGUCAAAAGUGAAAGACGGUCUUGCUGUCACUUAUAGAUGGAUCCGCGCUGCAUUAGCUAGUUGGUAAGGUAACGGCUUACCAAGGCAACGAUGCAUAGCCGACCUGUGAGGGUGAUCGGCCACACUGGAACUGAGACACGGUCCAGACUCCUACGGGAGGCAGCAGUAGGGAAUCUUCCGCAAUGGGCGAAAGCAUGACGGAGCAACGCCGCGUGAGUGAUGAAGGUCUUCGGAUCGUAAAACUCUGUUAUUAGGGAAGAACAUAUGUGUAAGUAACUGUGCACAUCUUGACGGUACCUAAUCAGAAAGCCACGGCUAACUACGUG
rnacentral:rRNA from 1 species